CCACUCUUCUACUAACUCCUCCAUCUGCCCUCUUUGUAUAAGAUGUUCUAUUGUGUAAACACUAUCAAGUAGAGCAUUUUAUAUAAGGAAGGUUUUUGGGGGCAUGACACUUGACCUUGAA
rnacentral:precursor_RNA from 12 species